rnacentral:rRNA from 1 species
GCUUGCACCUUUCACGUGAGUGGCGAACGGGUGAGUAACACGUGGACAACCUGCCUCAAGGCUGGGGAUAACAUUUGGAAACAGAUGCUAAUACCGAAUAAAACUUAGUGUCGCAUGACACAAAGUUAAAAGGCGCUUCGGCGUCACCUAGAGAUGGAUCCGCGGUGCAUUAGUUAGUUGGUGGGGUAAAGGCCUACCAAGACAAUGAUGCAUAGCCGAGUUGAGAGACUGAUCGGCCACAUUGGGACUGAGACACGGCCCAAACUCCUACGGGAGGCUGCAGUAGGGAAUCUUCCACAAUGGGCGAAAGCCUGAUGGAGCAACGCCGCGUGUGUGAUGAAGGCUUUCGGGUCGUAAAGCACUGUUGUAUGGGAAGAACAGCUAGAAUAGGAAAUGAUUUUAGUUUGACGGUACCAUACCAGAAAGGGACGGCUAAAUACGUGCCAGCAGCCGCGGUAAUACGUAUGUCCCGAGCGUUAUCCGGAUUUAUUGGGCGUAAAGCGAGCGCAGACAGUUUAUUAAGUCUGAUGUGAAAGCCCGGAGCUCAACUCCGGAAUGGCAUUGGAAACUGGUUAACUUGAGUGCAGUAGAAGUAAGUGGAACUCCAUGUGUAGCGGUGGAAUGCGUAAAUAUAUGGAAAAACACCAGUGGCGAAAGCGGCUUACUGGACUGCAACUGACGUUGAGGCUCGAAAGUGUGGGUAGCAAACAGGAUUAGAUACCCUGGUAGUCCACACCGUAAACCAAUGAACACUAGGUGUUAGGAGGUUUCCGCCUCUUAGUGCCGAAGCUAACGCAUUA